rnacentral:rRNA from 1 species
UUUUGUUUCGGCAGAAUCCGUAGUGGCGAACGGGUGAGUAACGCGUAGGCAACCUGCCCCCCGGAUUGGGACAACACCCCGAAAGGGGUGCGUAAUACCGGAUACGAAGACAGAAUCGCUAUGGUUUUGUUUUUGAAAGAUGGCCUCUACAUGUAAGCUAUCGCCGGGGAUGGGCCUGCGUCCGAUUAGCUGGUUGGUGGGGUAACGGCCCACCAAGGCGACGAUCGGUAGCCGGUCUGAGAGGAUGAACGGCCACAUUGGGACUGAGACACGGCCCAGACUCCUACGGGAGGCAGCAGUGGGGAAUCUUCCGCAAUGGGCGCAAGCCUGACGGAGCAACGCCGCGUGAGUGAGGAAGUUUUUCGGAACGUAAAACUCUGUUGUUUUGCGACGAACGGUCCUUCUGUGAAGAAUGGGGGGAAGUGACGGUAGCAGACGAGGAAGCCACGGCUAACUACGUGCC